AAUGAUUUUUAUUUAAUGGCUGCAGUAUUUUAACUGUACGAAGGUAGCAUAAUCAUUUGUUUAAUAAUUUUAGACUAGUAUGAAAGGUUUUAUGAGAAUUAAUCUUUCUUAUUUAUAUAAAUAAGAAUUUAUUUUUUCAGUGAAAAAACUGAAAUUUUUUUAUAGGACGAGAAGACCCUAUAGAACUUUGAUAAAAAUUCUUAUCUAUAAAUAAGAAUUUUUAUUGGAUUGGGGUGAUUUAAAUUUUUAAUUAACAAUUUUUAUUUUUAUCAAUGAUUUUUGACUUUUAUGAUCCAAUAUUUUUUGAUUAUAAGAUUAAGUUACCUUAGGGAUAACAGCGUAAUUUAAUUGGAGAGUUCUUAUCGAUAAUUUAAGUUUGCGA
rnacentral:rRNA from 1 species